UUUCUUAACAUAAAAAGAAAAAAAAUCUGUUAUCAUCUCACUCUAUCCCCAGUUCCCCACCAGCAUCCUUAUCCAUCCACAUGGGUCAUCUUCUCCAAUUAGCAGCCGGUGGAUGAAGAUGUCACCGCUAGCCAUCACCGAACUAAUUCCCAAGCCAUUCCGAAUCCACUUCUCGAUUCAUUUCUUCCAAUUUCUCCUCGUUGAGGUACUGCGGCAGUUGACCGUGUGUGCGGAGUGCGUGGACGCGUUUGUCGCGUUCUGGAGGAUGUGGAUGCUCGACGACGUCGUCGAGUCUGGCAGGGUGGCCAUGGGGAGGAGCAGGGAAAACACAAAAGCUACACUGCUCAACCUCUUGGAUGGUCGAUGGCUAGAGGGCCGUGGCUGAGGUGUUGUCGCUUGGCCUCGUGGAGGAGCCUAUCAGGGAAAUCACCGAAUCACCCACUGAGGUUGAUUGUUGGUUCUGGAACAUGAGGUACGGGACAGAGGCUGGCCUUGCUGCUAUUGUCCUCCGUGAGAUGCUCGCCUCCUCAUUGUUGUUGCUAUCAGACUACUACCAAAUAAUGGCGGCACGGGGUAAAAAUGGCGGCACGCAACAACAGAGAGGCCAUUGAUUUGCUUAUAUCGGGUUCUGCUAUUAAGUUACUGAAGCAAGGCCAGAAGUGCUUUGGCGUGACUUCUUCCAACAUUGAUUGGAGCAAUUGGGUGUGGCUUUGUUGGGCGUCGGGCGUGCUUUGGCGUGACUUCAUCGGGCGUCGAGUGAAGCGGCUGAGCAUGGAUUUUUGUGGUAGCUCUUUCGACUUCAAUCUGUUCAAGUCAUGGUGAUUGUCAACUUCUAAUUGCUUGGUGUGUGAUUGUGCGGCCGGCUGUACUUGUUUAUAUGGUUGAGGUGGCUGGGUUUGAGAUCGCCGAGACAUGCGGAAAUAUGAUCCUAACCUUGUCCUAUUUUUAUAUUUUGGAAUUUUCAUCAUGUGAGAUAUGAAAGUUGUCCUUAUUAGUUUAGGUUUGCAUGUAUUUGUUCCUGUUUUGGAAA